rnacentral:lncRNA from 1 species
UACAUUUCUUGAUUAUUGCGAGGGAAUCUCCUUCAAAAAUGAGUGACUGCCAUCCCUUUUCGAUUCCUACUUGGAUUGCUUUCCAACAGGCUAUGACUUUAGCAGCAAAAGCAGAUAAUACGUCAUUGUGGAUUUCUGAACAGGAUAAAAGGACUUUUCCUUCCGAAUCUCUGGCCACAAUACCUGAAGCUGACCGGUUCUGGCUCUCCUUAUAUGUACCGUCAAAAUUGAUCUUGAUAAACUCCCACUGUGGGUACGUCCAUCUUCUGUUUUCUUUUAUUAUUCUCGGAUCUUUUUUUUCAAAACCAGUUAUCUCAAUGAUGUAACUGUUUAUAAAGUUUGCAAUUUCCUUCCCAUUACUGACUUUUCCUUCGUGUACUCUUUUGUUCCUAUCUCCCCAUAUGGCCCAAAGUGCACAACAGAAAAACCGACCUUGACAAGGGUUGAGCUGCUCUAUCACCCAGGUAAGCCACUGUACAAAGUCCUCACUUUGAUUCAUCAUAAUAUUCUGAAGUGAUAAUACUCUCCAUACAUCUAUUGUAACAGUGCAUUCUCAAAAUAAAUGGUUCAUUGUUUCAGCUCUUUUUCCACAUCGAGGACAACUUAUAUUGACUGCUAGCUUCCUGUGUUGCAAAUUUACCUUUGUAGGCAGAUAGUUCCAUGACAGUCUCCAUAUUGUAACCUUUACUUUAUUUGGUAGAUUCAGG